AGGCAGGGCAUGUGAUGGACAGAGCAGAGCUGUGUGUGAGGGAGUAGCUGGGCUGCAUGGAGCUUUCUGACAAUUAUACAGUUGGGAUCCUGAACGUAGCUAUAAUUUCUGAACUUCUGUCAGGAAUCUCAGUCUAAGCCAUUUGUCCUAUGGUCAUUUCUGGAUGUACUGAGCAAUCCAUAAGGUUUCUGCAUGCAUCUCAUCUGGUGUUCUGAGAAAUAGUUGCUAGCAUGAGGCCCAGGCAAGGGUUAUUUCACAGGAUUCUGAGUUCAUUCACAAGAUUACCCAUAUGUGAUCAUAAAAUGUAUCUGGCAAGCUUUCCAGCCAUACUGUGAUCACUGUCAGUUGAAUGCUUUUAUAGUUAGCAUUUCUCCAGGAGAGUGUUCUCUGGCUCAACACCUGCUGAAGCAAAUGGAAGCAUUCACAGUGGCUGCAGUGGGAUCAAGAUCGUGUCCUUACUGAUCACUAUCUGUAGACCUAACAGACUCUGCUACCAAACUCUCUGUAAAUGAGCGCCUUUAUGGGUGUGUUGGCCCUUUGGCUCAGGAAUCAUGUGUGUUUGCCAUUAUCACUCUCUUCAGUGAUGUGAAAGCUGGUGAUUAUGUAGCUAGGAGCAAUGCUAAAGAUUUUUAAAGCAGUAUUUAAGUCUUGUCCCUUUGGCCCUUAUAGUAAAUAAGCAAUGCAAUGACAUGGGAUUGUAUGGCUGACGAGAGAAAAAGACUUGCUGUUACUGCUGGCGUAGCUGGAGUAAGUUUUCUAAAGGCUUAAGUUCAUUUUUGGCACUAUGUCAAUAUAUAAAAGGGAGAAAGUUUCCAGUGGGUGUCCAGUAUUUAACUCAUUUUCAUUUGAUGUUUAAGGUGCAUGUUCACAUUAAGUGUUCAUGAUGCCAGAGAAAAGUACCGACCUGUCUGUCCUCUAGAAAGGAGACAGAAAAGGCACUCUGGAAAGUGACUGAAUCUGAAAAGAUUUGAAUUGCUUUUCAGAGACUGUUGGUUCUCUCUCUUGUCUAAAUAAGGUUUGAAAAAAAAAAACAGUGCUCUCUUUUAACUGUCUACUAAGUGCCUAAAACUGGA
rnacentral:lncRNA from 1 species